rnacentral:piRNA from 1 species
UCCUGGUUUCACUUUGACUGCUUUGUCUUG